GAAGGUUGCAAUCUAAGAGAUUAGACGUUCCCUUCGGGGACAUGGAUACAGGUGGUGCAUGGUUGUCGUCAGCUCGUGUCGUGAGAUGUUGGGUUAAGUCCCGCAACGAGCGCAACCCUUAUUAUCAGUUGCCAGCAUUAAGUUGGGCACUCUGGUGAGACUGCCGGUGACAAACCGGAGGAAGGUGGGGAUGACGUCAAAUCAUCAUGCCCCUUAUGACCUGGGCUACACACGUGCUACAAUGGAUGGUACAACGAGUUGCGAACUCGCGAGAGUAAGCUAAUCUCUUAAAGCCAUUCUCAGUUCGGAUUGUAGGCUGCAACUCGCCUACAUGAAGUCGGAAUCGCUAGUAAUCGCGGAUCAGCAUGCCGCGGUGAAUACGUUCCCGGGUCUUGUACACACCGA
rnacentral:rRNA from 2 species